UGUCAUUUUGAAAUCCCUUCCUGUUAGCAUCCUUUUUCUGUAUAUAAAAACUUGUAACAAUUUUCUACGUUUCUUACUUUGACCAGUUGUCUGUGGCCUUGGUGCUGGUUGGUGAAGUCAAAGAAAGCUCUGCCAUCAGCAUACUGGUAGCAAGACGACUUCUUCCAAAGAGCUCAUGUGAAUAAUGCAUUGACACGAUGACCGACAGUAGGAGCAGUAUCCCACGUGGAAUUGGAAUCACAGACGGAUAUGAAUGUACGUGGCUGCGGGGAACCACACAAAGAAUGAGCAACGCAUGGAGUACACUGCCAAAAUGUGGAUCGGGAGACACCAGCAUCAGCUGGAUAUACAAAUCAUACCUACCCUGGAGUCCACAUGGUGCCAUCUGGGAGAAACUCCACUUUCACGUUGUAGCUGUCUCAAACGUCAAAUGUACAGCACUUAUGGACAUCACUCAGGUUCUUCAUAUAGAAAGAUUUUUCCUCCAUCUUUACAAUGCUGAAGCAGGCUUGCGCACUGUCUCACCAACCCUUGUUGAGAGCUUCCAGGGAAACAAACAGAACACCAAAAAUAAAAUAGUCAUUAAUUAUUGACUGGAAUGGAUAAAUAUUUUUUUCUGUUUCAAUACCGAGGGCCCUGUAACUCAGCUUCAUUAUUUUAUCUUAAAAGACCAUUGUAAUGGGUAGUACCAGCAAAGAAGGCACAAGUUGAGAGUCAGAAAUGAAUUAAUUUUCAGAUUUUGAGAAAACAAAUCUCUAGUCUAGCUUUAUAUAUAUAUAUAUUUACCCACCAAGUGCAUCUCGGACAGCUGUAAGGAUUUCUGUGCUUGUGGAGCUGUGGAGUAAUUACUAUAUCCAAAUUAUAACCAUGUGUAGAUGCUCUUAUUCUGAAAUAGAUUGUUCCUAUAGAGUUUAAUGCCCUUCAAAGGUAGUUUUAAACUAAACAGUUCCACAAAUGCAACAGAGAUAUUCAGUAAUUUUCUAAAUAAAACUAGCUCUUUAAGGCAAAGUUACCAGAAUUUGUGACUGUAGCUAAUUACUGGUGUAAAACUUGACCUGCCGGAAAGGACCUGCCCUUGCGGCGGCAGUUGCUGCUACCCUCUGCACUGUCCUGGUGUCACGGCUCAGUCUUCUUGCUUAUGCUUGGAGAUAAAUUAAACCGAUUUGGGAACUGAAGUGCUGCAUUUUGAAGCCGAGUCCCAACUUUAACAUGGGGAUGCACUAAAAUAAUCUCAUUUUAGUCAUCUUCCUCACUCACUAAUUUCACUUCAAUGAUGGGUUCCAAUUAAAAGAAAAAUAACCAGACUCAUGAAAAUUUAAAACAAGGACAAAACUAACAAGCUGCUGCAUUGGAUGUUUAAUCCCUCCACUGCAAUCUACUCUCCACAAGGAUUAGACAAUAGUCCUUUAUUACAGAACAGACACGUCACCACGAGGGACAAGCGCUCCUAUUGUGUUAAUCCUAUCAGGCAAAGAUUUCAUCUCAGAGUAAUUGUUACUUGUUUAGGUGAUGUGCAGUGCUGUAUGUACUGAACUGCAAGUCACCCAUACGUUUCAUUGUCAGAGACUUUCUUCAUGUGAUUCUGUGCCUGUGAUUAAAUCUAUAUUCAUAAUCUCUUAUUCUGCAUCUUUUCCAUCCUUGUUCAUACCGUCUUUCUCUUCCUGUAGCAACCCCAGCUCCCUGAAAAGUUACAUCCUGUGCAAGUAACUUCCAAGUUAACACACAAACCAGGGAGGAGAAAGGGGAAGUUGUCUGUUUCAAAAAGAGACUGAAAAUUUACAAAGCACCUGCCAAUUAGCCAGACCUUAAUUUUGCAAAUUUAUUUAGG